rnacentral:rRNA from 1 species
AAGGGGAGUGAAAAGUAUCUGAAAUCAUGUGUCUACAAAGUGUGGGAGCGCAAGCGACCGCAUGCCUUUUGCAUAAUGAGCCUGCGACUUACUCUAACGAGCGAGGUUAAGCCUAGUGCGGAGCCGAAGCGAAAGCGAGUGUGAAUAGCGCGUCUAGUUCGUUGGAGUAGACCCGAAGCUGAGUGAUCUAUCCAUGGCCAGGUUGAAUCUGCGGUAACACGCAGUGGAGGACCGAACCAGUUCAUGUUGAAAAAUGUUUGGAUGAGCUGUGGAUAGGGGUGAAAGGCCAAUCAAACUCAGUGAUAGCUGGUUCUCUUCGAAAUAGCUUUAGGGCUAGCCUUGCGUAAAUAGUUUGCGGGGGUAGAGCUACUGAUUGUUCACGGGCCCUUACCGGGGUACCAAGAACUAUUAAACUCCGAAUACCGUAAACCGUACCGCAGGAGUCAGACUAUGGGGGAUAAGCUUCAUGGUCGAGAGGGAGACAGCCCAGACCGCCGGCUAAGGUCCCAAAUCUGGACUUAGUGGUUUGAAGGAUGUGAUGUUGCAUAAACAGCCAGGAUGUUGGCUUAGAGGCAGCCAUCAUUUAAAGAGUGCGUAAUAGCUCACUGGUCGAGUGAUAUCGCGCCGAAGAUGAUCGGGACUGAAGUCCAGAACCGAAGCCGCGGACCGUGGAUUUAUUCACGGUGGUAGAAGAGCGUUGUAUGCGGGUUGAAGCCGAAGAGUGAUCUGAGGUGGACUGCAUACAAGUGACCAUGCAGGCAUGAGUAGCGAAAAACCGGAUGAGAAUUCCGGUCACCGAAAACCUAAGGUUUCCCGGGGAAGGUUCGUCCGCCCGGGGUUAGUCGGAACCUAAGGCGAGGCCGAAAGGCGUAGUCGAUGGAGGACAGGUUAAUAUUCCUGUACCACCUUGCUGGAGUGAUGGAGGGACGCAGUAAGUCAGGCGAGCCAACUGCUGAAUAUGUUGGUCGAAUCCCGUAGGGCGUGUCAUAGGCAAAUCCGUGACACAACAGCCUGAGAGGCGUAAGGUAUCCGGGCGCAAGUCUGGAGAAUUCGCUGUGACUACACUGACGAGAAAAGCUUCUAAACGUCGAUAGCAGGGUGUCCGUACCGUAAACCGACACAGGUAGGUGAGGCGAGUAGCCUAAGGUGCGCGAGAGAAACCAACGUUAAGGAACUCGGCAAAUCAGCCCCGUAACUUCGGAAUAAGGGGUGCCGUUUCAGGUGGAGGGAUUUACUCCCCGAGCCCGGGACGGUUGCAAUAAAGAGGCCGGUGCGACUGUUUAACAAAAACAUAGCUCUAUGCUAACUCGUAAGAGGAUGUAUAUGGAGUGACACGUGACCAAUGCCAAAAGGUCAAUGGGAGAGGUUAGCGCAAGCGAAGCUUCGAUCUGAAGCCCUGGUGAAUGUCGGCCGUAACUAUAACGGUCCUAAGGUAGCGAAAUUCCUUGUCGGGUAAGUUCCGACCUGCACGAAUCGUGUAACGAUGCCGGCACUGUCUCAACGUGGAUCUCGGCGAAGUUGUAAUUCCGGUGAAAAUGCCGGAUACCUGCGGAAGGACGGAAAGACCCCAUGAACCUUUACUGUAAUCUGAUAUUGGUAUUUGGUUGCUCUUGUGUAGCAUAGGUGGGAGGCUGUGAAGCCGCUACGCCAGUACCGGUGGAGCCACAGGUGAAAUACCACCCUGGUGCAAUUAGAUAUCUAACGGAUGCCCGUGAAUCCGGACUCCGGACCGUGUCAGAGGGUCAGUUUGACUGGGGCGGUUUCCUCCUAAAUUGUAACGGAGGAGCCCGAAGGUACACUCAGCACGGUUGGCAAUCGUGUGUAGAGCGUAAGGGUAGAAGUGUGCUUUACUGUAAGACCGACAGGUCGAGCAGUUGCGAAAGCAGGGCCUAGUGAUCCAGCGAUGGAAUGUGGAAUCGUCGUUGCUCAACGGAUAAAAGGUACUCUGGGGAUAACAGGCUGAUAGCGCCCAAGCGUCCAUAGCGACGGCGCUGUUUGGCACCUCGAUGUCGACUCAUCACAUCCUGGGGCUGUAGAAGGUCCCAAGGGUUCGGCUGUUCGCCGAUUAAAGUGGUACGCGAGUUGGGUUCAGAACGUCGUGAGACAGUUCGGUCCUUAUCCUCCGCAGGCGCAGGAUAUUUGAUGGGAUCAUUCCUUAGUACGAGAGGACCGGGAAUGACUGACCUCUGGUGUUCCGGUUGUGGCGUCAGCUGCACUGCCGGGUAGCUAUGUCGGGAACGGAUAAGCGCUGAAAGCAUCUAAGCGCCAAGCCCACCCAAAGACGAGAUAU